AGAGUUUGAUCCUGGCUCAGAAUCAACGCUGGCGGCGCGCCUAACACAUGCAAGUCGAACGAGAAAGCAGGAGCAAUCUUGUGAGUAAAGUGGCGUACGGGUGAGUAACACGUGGAUUAUCUACCUUCUAGUGGGGGAUAACCCUGGGAAACCGGGGCUAAUACCGCAUAAGCUCGAGAGAGGAAAGCAGCAAUGCGCUGGAAGAGGAGUCCGCGGCCGAUUAUGCUAGUUGGUAGGGUAAAAGCCUACCAAGGCUAAGAUCGGUAGCCGGCCUGAGAGGGCACACGGCCACACUGGCACUGAAACACGGGCCAGACUCCUACGGGAGGCAGCAGUGGGGAAUCUUGCACAAUGGGGGCAACCCUGAUGCAGCGACGCCGCGUGAGCGAUGAAGCCCUUCGGGGUGUAAAGCUCUUUCGGCAGGGAAGAUUAUGACGGUACCUGCAGAAGCAGCUGCGGCUAACUACGUGCCAGCAGCCGCGGUAAUACGUAGGCAGCAAGCGUUGUUCGGAGUUACUGGGCGUAAAGGGUGUGUAGGCGGUCUACUAAGUCUGGUGUGAAAUCUCCCGGCUCAACUGGGAGGGUGCGCCGGAAACUGGAAGGCUAGAGUGCGGGAUGGGAGAGUGGAAUUCCUGGUGUAGCGGUGAAAUGGUAGAUAUCAGGAGGAACCCGGUGGCGAAGGCGGCGACCUGGGACAAUACUGACGCUGAGGUGCGAAAGCGUGGGGAGCAAACAGGAUUAGAUACCCUAGUAGUCC
rnacentral:rRNA from 1 species